rnacentral:rRNA from 1 species
CCUUGGGGAACUCGGCAUAAUGAUCCCGUAACUUCGGAAGAAGGGAUGCCUUUUCAGGUUGCCAGACUUGCUCUGGUUGCUCGAAGAGGCCGCAGAGAAUCGACUCAAGCAACUGUUUAGCAAAAACACAGGUGCGUGCCAAGCCGCAUAAGGCGCCGUAUACGCACUGACUCCUGCCCGGUGCCGGAAGGUUAAGGGGAGGGUUAGCCGCAAGGCGAAGCUUUGAUCCGAAGCCCCGGUAAACGGCGGCCGUAACAAUAACGGUCCUAAGGUAGCGAAAUUCCUUGUCGGGUAAGUUCCGACCUGCACGAAUGGAGUAACGACUUGAGUACUGUCUCGACCACGUGCUCGGCGAAAUAGCAGUCUCGGUGAGGAUUCCGAGUCCCCGCGACAGGACAAAAAGACCCCAUGCACCUUUACUGCAGCUUGUUAUUGACGAUUGCAUAAGACUGUGUAGCAUAGGUGGGAGCCGUUGAGACGGGGGCGCUAGCUCUCGUGGAGGCAACAGUGAAAUACCACCCUGUGUUCUGUGAUCGUCUCACCGCGGUAGGCAAACCCUACCCGGGACCGUGACAGGUGGGCAGUUUGACUGGGGCGGUCGCCUCCGAAAGAGUAACGGAGGCGCGCGAAGGUUGGCUCAGCGCGGUCGGUAAUCGCGCCUAUAGAGUGUAACGGCAGAAGCCAGCCUGACGGUGAGACCGACGGGUCGAACCGAGACGAAAGUCGGCCGUAGUGAUCCGGUAGACCGGUGUGGAUCGGCUAUCGCGCAACGGAUAAAAGGUACGCUGGGGAUAACAGGCUUAUCGCGCCCGAGAGUUCACAUCGACGGCGCGGUUUGGCACCUCGAUGUCGGCUUGUCACAUCCUGGGGCUGGAGAAGGUCCCAAGGGUCCGGCUGUUCGCCGGUUAAAGUGGCACAUGAGCUGGGUUCAGAACGUCGUGAGACAGUUCGGUCUGUAUCCGUCGUGGGCGUUGGAGGGUUGAGGGGUGCGAACUCUAGUACGAGAGGACCGAGUUGGACGAUCCGCUCGUGUCCCGGCUGUGGCGCCAGCUGCAACGCCGGGUAGCGAUGAUCGGUGGCGAUAACCGCUGAAAGCAUCUAAGUGGGAAGCGUCCCCCAAGAUGAACCCUCCCUGGGAACUUGAUUCCCCUAAAGGGCCGGAGGAGACUACUCCGUCGAUAGGCAACAAGUGGAAGUAGCGCAAGCUAUUACGAGCUCAGUUGUCCUAAUCGCCCGUGCGGCUUGAUUA